rnacentral:rRNA from 1 species
UAGUAACUGCGAGUGAAGCGGGAAGAGCUCAAAUUUAAAAUCUGGCGCCCUUCUGGACGUCCGAGUUGUAGUCUGGAGAAGUGUUAUCCGCGUCGGACCGUGUACAAGUCUCCUGGAACGGAGCGUCAUAGAGGGUGAGAAUCCCGUCCAUGACACGGACGCCCCGAUGCUAUGUGAGGCACUCUCAAAGAGUCGAGUUGUUUGGGAAUGCAGCUCAAAAUGGGUGGUAAAUUCCAUCUAAAGCUAAAUAUUGGCGAGAGACCGAUAGCGAACAAGUACCGUGAGGGAAAGAUGAAAAGCACUUUGGAAAGAGAGUUAAACAGUACGUGAAAUUGUUGAAAGGGAAACGCUUGAAGUCAGUCGCGUCCCGUGGAACUCAGCCUGGUUUCGACCUGGUGUACUUUCCAUGCGGACGGGUCAACGUCAAUUUCGGCCGGUGGACAAGGGCGAGGGGAAUGUAGCGUUGCUUCGGCGACGUGUUAUAGCCCCCCGUCGUAUACACCGGCCGGGAUUGAGGACCGCAGCACGCCCUUGUGGCCGGGGGGGUUCGCCCCCCACGUAACGUGCUUAGGAUGUUGGCAUAAUGGCUUUAAGCGACCCGUCUUGAAACACGGACCAAGGAGUCUAACAUGCUUGCGAGUGUUCGGGUGGAAAACCCUUGCGCGUAAUGAAAGUGAAAGUUGGGAACCUCCGCGAGGGGGUGCACCGACGCCCGGCCCUGACGUUCUCUGACGGUGCCGCGGUAGAGCACGUAUGUUGGGACCCGAAAGAUGGUGAACUAUGCCUGAAUAGGGCGAAGCCAGAGGAAACUCUGGUGGAGGCUCGUAGCGAUUCUGACGUGCAAAUCGAUCGUC